rnacentral:tRNA from 1 species
GGGCGAAUAGCUCAGUUGGUUCAGAGCAUCUGCCUUACAAGCAGAGGGUCGGGGGUUCGAAUCCCUCUUCGCCCAC